rnacentral:rRNA from 1 species
GGAGUUGUUGCUGGCCUUUACAGGCAUGUGCACGCUCUGAUCGACCUUUCAAACCCCUGUGCACAUUUUGUAGGAGAGGGUAAUACCUCUUCUAUGUUUUUAUACAUACCCCUUUAAAGUCUAUGAACGUUUUAUAUGAAUAAAAAUAAAAUAUAACUUUCAACAACGGAUCUCUUGGCUCUCGCAUCGAUGAAGAACGCAGCGAAAUGCGAUAAGUAAUGUGAAUUGCAGAAUUCAGUGAAUCAUCGAAUCUUUGAACGCACCUUGCGCUCCUUGGUAUUCCGAGGAGCAUGCCUGUUUGAGUGUCAUUAAAUUCUCAACCCUUCAACUUUAUUGAUGGAGCGGCUUGGACUUGGAGUGUGCUGGUGAUAACAUCGGCUCCUCUUUAAAUGCAUUAGCAGCAACCUUUCAAUGUGCAAUCGGUGUGAUAAUUAUCUACGCCUUAAAAAGCCUUUGAAGUCUGCUUAUAAUUGUCCUUCUGGACAACUUAAUGAUUAUCUUGACCUCAAAUCAGGUAGGACUACCCGCUGAACUUAAGCAUAUCAAUAAGCGGAGGAAAAGAAACUAACAAGGAUUCCCCUAGUAACUGCGAGUGAAGCGGGAAAAGCUCAAAUUUAAAAUCUGGCGGUCUUUAGGUCGUCCGAGUUGUAAUCUGGAGAAGUGUUUUCCGCGCUGGACCGUGUACAAGUCUCUUGGAACAGAGCGUCAUAGAGGGUGAGAAUCCCGUCUUUGACACGGACAACCAGUGCUAUGUGAUGCGCUCUCGAAGAGUCGAGUUGUUUGGGAAUGCAGCUCAAAAUGGGUGGUAAAUUCCAUCUAAAGCUAAAUAUUGGCGAGAGACCGAUAGCGAACAAGUACCGUGAGGGAAAGAUGAAAAGCACUUUGGAAAAGAGAGUUAAACAGUACGUGAAAUUGUUGA